UUGAUUUUUAUUUGUUACUUAUAUAUUAGCUACUAAUACAGGCAAAUAACUGUAUCAAAAUACCAGCUGAUGUUGGUCUCACACCAUCAUUAUUAUGAAAAAAAUCACCGUGACAUGCACAUGAGCAUAUAGAUGCAAAAAAGUUUCAGUUUUCUUGUUUUCCACCGUCUGUCUUCAUUUUUCUCUUUUCAAAAUAUACUAGUACUUAAGUAAAUAGUAAGUGUGCACGUGCAAUGCACGUCUUGUUAGAAUUCAAAAUUUAAAUACACAAAGUUUAUAUUUUCAUUUUAUGUAUGGCUAACUGUAAUCUUACAUGUGCAAUGAUGUGCAGUGCAUUCCACAUACUCUGCCAGUUUAAAUCUUGCUGAGAUCUACAACCACUUCGCAAACUUGUCUAGAGUAUUUGAGAUUGAUUUUGUGACCCAUGCAAUAAUCUUCAACAUCAAUAAUUCACCUAGUAUCUCAACAACUCUGUCAUCUGUUAAGGGCGCACGUGGUUCAUUCCGAGUGGUACGAAAAUGUUAAUUUGCGCUUUCCAUAUAAGCAUGCAUUAGUACUAGCAGAAUGAAUCAUAAUGUAGUUAUAGUGCAAAUGUUGUCUAAACGAACAAGACAAUGAUCUAGAAUAAUCAACGCGUCUAAGAAAAUAAAGUGUUGGUGGUGGUGGGUGGUAGGUACAUUCUCGUAAUUCUGAAGUAGCGCACACUUAAUCUGCAACAAACUUAAGAGAGGAAGAAACGCUAUGACUACUUCCUCUCAACUAAAAUGGUCCAAUUACCAACAUAAACAUCAUAUGUGACUUAAUAAUUUAAAUUGUGACCGCUAAGCUCAUAUUUCAAAAAUACUCCAAAUUUAAAAUUUAGGCAUUAACUUCAAAUUAACUCCAAAUUAUAAGCAUUAACUUUCUGAACAGAGUAUAGCUUUAGUGGCCUAAUAAUUUAAAUUUUAAGCAUUAAAUUCAAAUUAUUAAAAUAAGCGAGGUAAUUAUAGGUUAAUACUAUAAAAACCUUGAUGUUUGCUAAACGAACAUGAUUCCAAUGUAGCAAGAAUAUUUGAUAUGCUUAAAAAAAGGGAGAUGAUCAGAUAAGCAGAAAAUGUAAUUAGACAUUGUGUGAGGACACAUUUAAAAAUGAACACUAAAAUAGAAACUAGUUGCAAGCAAAAUAAGAAGUCUAACAUAAAGUACAAAAUGAAGACACACCUAAGCCGAAGCUCCUUGAUGUCAUUGAGCUCCUUGAUUUUCGAGGGUGCCGCAGCUCACCAUGUGUGUUGUUCCAACCUUUUUUGGAGUAAGAUAAGACAAGGAGAAACAUUGGACUUGCUUGAAGGUUGCAGCAAGCUGGAAUGAAUUCUAACUUCUUCACUUGAUGCAUCAUAUCUAGCUUAGCUUCAGUGUCUGAAAAAAUGACUUAGAAAUACGGAUAAUCUGGCAUUGGAAGAGCAAAGAUAUAUAACCUAAUAUCUUUCGACACUUGCAUAUAAAGGUUGAGGUAUCAC
rnacentral:lncRNA from 1 species